GAUCUGUGUGUGCGUUCGGUGUGUGGCCGGGUGUGGGGGGGUGUGUGAGCAGAGCACGUUUUAGCUGGAGUGCUUGGUGUGGUGUGUAUUUGGUUUGCGCUUUGACAUGCAGCAUGUGUUUGUGUGUGCACGCUUAUAGGUUGUAUGUUUUUGCCCGAUUAUAGUGGGAUUAUGUGGGUGCGGUUUGAAGGUGGGUGUGUGCUGCUCCUGCCGGGGUUUGUGGUCGUGCUGUGGUGAGUGCAUAUGUGUGUGCAGUGUGUGGAUGUGUGUGUGCCCGUUGAAGCUUGUGUGCAUGUGUGUGGUGUGUGUUUAUGCUUAGAUGCAGUGUGUCAAUGUGGGUUUACAGGUGGUGUUUGUUGAAGUGUGUAGUGUGUGAAUAUGCUCGUGUGCAAGAUUUCUCUGUAAGUCAAUCUACUUGAGGUGUGUGUUCAAAGGUUUAUGCAUGUGAGGGUGCGGUGUGUGUCUUUUGGUGUGAUGUUCUCAUGUGUGUGGUGUGGACGCAUGUGGUCAGCUUAAGUGCUUGGAUGAACGGGUUGUGUGUGUCUUGAAGGCGGAUUGCCGCAUAAGUGUAUGGGUGCGGUGUGUGAGAGUACAGGGUUGUCUAAAAGAACCCAAGUGACCGUGUGUGUGGUUGGGGGCGGGGACGAGUGGGACGUUGGGCUGGGACUGAGAGGAGAAAGAAGUAGGGGCCGCGACCCCCGCAGAGGUGCCCGCUGGUCUGAUCUUCACCGUGGGGGUUCGCCUGCCCGCUCACCUCUGUGGCCAGCUGGGGCAGGGUGUGAAUUUACCUGACUGCUUAGAGGAAAGAAGAGGAGGGCGCCGCACGUGAUUGGCCAGCCCUGUUCCUUCCUUUUGGACUAAUGGCUGAGUGACCCAACUGGAUUUCCUUGGCUUGAACCUGAGCAAGCCCUCUCUCUCUAAAGACUUGAAUGCCUACUCCCUUCACUGAGUGGUUUCUUCUGUUCCUGGCCAACUCAGGUGCAAUCCCUAGUGAGCCUGAUGAUCAAACUUCUCAGCGAUCAGAUUCCUGAAAGAGCAGUCUCUCCAUGACAAAAGAUGGGUUUGGGAAUGUGAAAGCACUUUCUGUGAAAGUUCUGCACCUGUGGUAGACUCAGAAACACAUACAAGGCUAUAAAUGUCUUUAUGCACUUAUUAAUUUUCCAAUAAACAUACUUGACAGUACACCUAAUAGGGAAGUUCUGUGAUUAAUUUUUCAAACAAUAAGAAAAUAAACGAUCAGAAAGGCUUACAGUCUCAUACCUACAAUCUGUCAGUAUCAACAUUUAUAAAUUAAAAGGCUUUGUUUUCUCAUGAUCACUGGAUGCUUGGCACACAUAUUGGCUGAAAAAACAGAAAAAAACCUC